AGCGAACGCUGGCGGCAGGCCUAACACAUGCAAGUCGAACGAACCCUUCGGGGUUAGUGGCGGACGGGUGAGUAACACGUGGGAACGUGCCUUUAGGUUCGGAAUAACUCAGGGAAACUUGUGCUAAUACCGAAUGUGCCCUUCGGGGGAAAGAUUUAUCGCCUUUAGAGCGGCCCGCGUCUGAUUAGCUAGUUGGUGAGGUAAAGGCUCACCAAGGCUACGAUCAGUAGCUGGUCUGAGAGGAUGACCAGCCACACUGGGACUGAGACACGGCCCAAUCUCCUACGGGAGGCAGCAGUGGGGAAUCUUGCGCAAUGGGCGAAAGCCUGACGCAGCCAUGCCGCGUGGAUGAUGAAGGUCUUAGGAUUGUAAAAUCCUUUCACCGGUGAAGAUAAUGACUGUAGCCGGAGAAGAAGCCCCGGCUAACUUCGUGCCAGCCGCCGCGGUAAUAC
rnacentral:rRNA from 1 species